rnacentral:rRNA from 2 species
UGAAAGGUUGACCUCGGAUCAGGUAGGAAUACCCGCUGAACUUAAGCAUAUCAAUAAGCGGAGGAAAAGAAACCAACAGGGAUUGCCCUAGUAACGGCGAGUGAAGCGGCAACAGCUCAAAUUUGAAAUCUGGCCCUCGGGUCCGAGUUGUAAUUUGUAGAGGAUGCUUUUGGCGCGGUGCCUUCCGAGUUCCCUGGAACGGGACGCCAUAGAGGGUGAGAGCCCCGUCUGGUUGGACACCAAGCCUCUGUAAAGCUCCUUCGACGAGUCGAGUAGUUUGGGAAUGCUGCUCUAAAUGGGAGGUAUAUGUCUUCUAAAGCUAAAUACCGGCCAGAGACCGAUAGCGCACAAGUAGAGUGAUCGAAAGAUGAAAAGCACUUUGAAAAGAGAGUUAAAUAGCACGUGAAAUUGUUGAAAGGGAAGCGCUUAUGACCAGACUUGGGCUUGGUUGAUCAUCCUGCGUUCUCGCGGGUGCACUCUUCCGGCUCAGGCCAGCAUCAGUUCGUCGCGGGGGAUAAAGGCGUCGGGAAUGUGGCUCCCUCGGGAGUGUUAUAGCCCUUCGUGUAAUACCCUGCGGUGGACUGAGGACCGCGCUUCGGCAAGGAUGCUGGCGUAAUGGUCAUCAGCGACCCGUCUUGAAACACGGACCAAGGAGUCGUCUUCGUAUGCGAGUGUUCGGGUGUCAAACCCCUACGCGUAAUGAAAGUGAACGCAGGUGAGAGCUUCGGCGCAUCAUCGACCGAUCCUGAUGUUCUCGGAUGGAUUUGAGUAAGAGCAUACGGGGCCGGACCCGAAAGAAGGUGAACUAUGCCUGUAUAGGGUGAAGCCAGAGGAAACUCUGGUGGAGGCUCGCAGCGGUUCUGACGUGCAAAUCGAUCGUCAAAUAU